GAUGAACGCUAGCGGCAGGCCUAAUACAUGCGAGUCGAACGGGAUCCAGAUCAAAGCUUGCUUUGGUCUGGUGAGAGUGGCGCACGGGUGCGUAACGCGUGAGCAACCUACCCUUGUCAGGGGGAUAGCCCGGCGAAAGUCGGAUUAAUACCGCAUGACAUCAUUGAGAGGCAUCUUUCGAUGAUCAAAGAUUUAUCGGACAAGGAUGGGCUCGCGUGACAUUAGCUAGUUGGUAAGGUAACGGCUUACCAAGGCUGCGAUGUCUAGGGGCUCUGAGGGGAGAAUCCCCCACACUGGUACUGAGACACGGACCAGACUCCUACGGGAGGCAGCAGUAAGGAAGAUUGGUCAAUGGACGGAAGUCUGAACCAGCCAUGCCGCGUGCAGGAAGACGGCCCUAUGGGUUGUAAACUGCUUUUAUACGGGAACAAACGUCGGUACGUGUACCGGUCUGAGUGUACCGUAAGAAUAAGGAUCGGCUAACUCCGUG
rnacentral:rRNA from 1 species